rnacentral:misc_RNA from 1 species
UGGCCUUUUUGCAGACUGUUCAUCGGAUUCUGAAACCAAAUCUUCAUAGCUACUCGGUACAUUAUUUUUGCUGAUGAUGUUUCCCAUCAAGUUAAACUCUUCAUCGGAUGGGGCAAGGUCAUUUCCGUUAUUCAUGCUCUUUGCCUCUUGAGAAUCUUCAACAACAUAAGUUGUAAGGUCCGCAGAGGAAGUUGCAGAAAAUACCUGGUCAUCUAACCCUAUUUCUGAUGAUUUCUGCGACCCACUGAUAGUUGUUCCAGAACUUGAGUCAUCAACAGAAGGUUCCUCAGCCUGCACAUAGUUCUGUUUACAAGGAUCAUCUGUAUCUGAUGAUGAAUCAGAGAUUUGCUCACCAUUUUCUUCUGCCUCCUGUUUUUGGGAAACAAGCAAAAGUUCAAUUAGUCAUGCACAACUUUGAAAUAGAAGCUUUAAAGCUUUACUUGCCCACAAUUCCUCCAUUUCUGCCAAAAGUUUCAGCAAAAAUGGAAUGAUCUCUUGAACUCUUAUGCCUUGCAAUAAUGAGACAUCAUUGUUAGGUGAAAUUACAAUUUGAACUCAGCAAAAUGAAGGGUCUAAAAUAAAAUAAGCAAAUUAAUAUCCAAAUAAAGGAAGAAAUAGAAAGGAAUGUAGCUAUGAAUUUCUCUUUGCACAGUGAAUCUUGCAGCCAAUGUGGCAAACCACAAUUAGGUGAACAGAGAUUGCAGAUAAUAGUGCUUCAAACUAUCAUCCCUCAAUCACAACAUACAGAUUCAGAUAAAAUUUCCAAUUUUAUAGAAAGAACAAAAAAUUAACCAUAAAGAAGUGCUAAGAAUAUUUUAACAUAAAAUAAUACGGGAUAAUUUUCUUUUAACGUUACCCCUUUUCUACAAGAAAAAUGAAAUUCCUACAAUAUAAAAACAGAAGUAAUAUUUUUAAUGGGAAUGAACUGGACCCAAAAAAAAAAAAGUACCUUUAUAGGUGACAUGAAACUUAGAUGACUUGCUCCCAUUUGUGAGUAAUUUCUACUGUAAAAGAGUCUAGCACUAGUUUCUGGCUCAAACAAUUCCCCAGAAUCCAAUCCUGGUUCUUUAAUUUGUUGUGGCAACACUCCCAGAGCAGAGGCUGAUGGAAGUGAAAUCCCAAUUCCCAGUUCAGUAUUAGGACCACAAAAAUCACCCUGGCACAUUUUCAGUGAACUGCCUCUCUCUUCAAUGAACAACUCUAAUCCCGUUUCUUGCUCAUUUGUAUUGGCAAAUUGGGAGCAAGGAUGCUUAUCAAUGGAUUCCACUUUAGGAACUUGCUGAGACUGAUCUUCAAGAAUUUCACAAAUUAACUUCCGGAUGUGUACCCGUUUAAGAGAAGCCUCCUCAGGUAGAAACCAAUUCCUAUUAAGAAAGUUUGAGAAUUCUGUUAUCUUGAAAGGGCUGAAGUUUGUAGGAACUUCCUCGAGAAACAGUUCCACAUAGUGGAGCAGGAAGAGGCCACAGUCAAAAGAAUUUUCUUGUUGUGGCAACUCAAGUGGAACAAACCAUAGUCGUGAGAACUUUGAAGAUACAUCAUCCAGAGUGUCAUUAUGCCUCUCUUUCCACUCUUCACAUAGGUAACUUUGAAUUAGAUUCUUGAGGCCCCUGUGACUUCCUCUAAUAGAAUCCAUGUGCAAGAUGCAUGGUACUUUAAGUGCCCUUUCACUUUCAUCAUCUCUAAAAUUAGCCACUUCACCUGGAUGACAAAUGACUAUCAAACUCCAGUGGAGACUAUAGUUUACAGGAAUGAAAAUGUAAUCCUUCUCAAAAAUAUUCACUUUUCUUGUCCAUUUACGAACACGUUGAAAUGCAGCCUUGCUUUCACAAGCAUUACGUGGGUCCUUGUCUAGAUCAGCAAGCUUCCGAAAGAAGAAACUAUUAAAGAAGUGAAACCGAUACUGGUCCUCUGGUUGAAUUUUGUUCUUUAAAAAUUUUAUAUAAAAGUCAAUGAUAGUAUCAUUGAUGAAUGUCUCAGGCUGCAGAAGCUCCACAUCUCUCUUACUAAUUGAAACAGCAUCAGGAUCCCCUUUUGGAUAAAUAACAUCUUUAAAAGGCUCAUCAAGGACAUAAACAUAAGGCUUUGGGAUGGCCACACUGUUGGACACUGCAAAGGCAUCAUCAUCCUUUUCUCUAUCAGUAUCCAAAAUAACAUUCCAGAUGUCUCUAUAUCUUUCAUCCAAUGAUCUGAUAGCUUCCUGUCCUUCAAACCAAUUAGGAUCAUAAACUGAAAACUUCAACUUGUCAAUGCCUGAUGGUUCAUUUGAACUUCCAACUCCUUCAGAAACCUUUGGCUUAAGAAAAAAAUUAAUCAUAGCAGUCUCAACCCUCCGACACCAUUCAGAUUCAAUACUAAUAACGUCAUCCAACGCCCAUUCAAUGUUAAAUGUUCCUGUGGCCCCAUUUACAAUUGAACCCUCAACUCUGAUGCAACUUCUCAAGAAAGUUAAGCGGGACUCCGUACAAUACAUGUCCUCAUAUAGGAUAAAAUCAGGGAAUACAACAACAGCAUUAUUUAAAAUAUCAAUCUUAUGUCCAACAGAAGAAGACUCUGGUACUGGAUCUUUCGAUGGAACUUCAGUCUGUUCAAGAGUGGAGAUGGAAAUCGAGGCAGUACUUGUUUCACUUCCAUCAUCAUCAUCUGAAAUCAUAUCCACUGACUUGUUCUCAUAAAUUUGAGAACCAGAUUGCACCAUUGCAUCCACACAACAAGCUUCCUUUACUGAACAAGCUUCCUUUACUGUACAAUCUUCUUGCAGGGUACAUAUAGGAGGUGAAACAGAGAGUUUGUGAGAAUCGCUUACAUCAUUAGCAUCUAUAGCUACUGAUUCAUCACUAAUUUCCUUGCAUGGAGCCUUGAUCCCUUCAGCAAAUAUCAUUUCAACAUCAAUUGGUUCGUUGUCAAUAAUGAUGGUUUCAUUGGCACUUUCCUUUUCUUGAGCACUAGGAUAUACUGCAAAUCCCAUGUCAACAUCAAUUGAUUCAUUGUCAACAACAAUGUGUUGAACGGCACUUUCCUUUUCUUGAGCCCCAGUACAUCCUGCAAAACACUCAAGGAACUUAUACUUGAUGAUUGGAGAAGUCAAAUCACGCUUUCUCUUAGGUUUUGCAAAUUUCCCUAGAAACUUCUCAGACGCCUUCUCAACACGCUCAUCAUCCUCACUGAAAUCGAAAACGCUUGAUCGCUUGGCGGAAGAGACACCCAAACUCGGCGGCGGGCGGGUCAUGACUCGCAGUGAGAGUCAAACGUCCAAGUCCAAAUCAACAGUUAUAUUUUUCAGGUUAUUACCAUUAACAAUAAAUAAAUAGAACAGAGGAGGUGUGAACCGUGAAGCGUCUACUUCUAUGAGAAGUUAU